rnacentral:rRNA from 1 species
AGAGUUUGAUCCUGGCUCAGGAUGAACGCUGGCGGCGUGCCUAACACAUGCAAGUCGAACGGUGUCCUUCGGGACAUAGUGGCGGACGGGUGAGGAACACGUAGCUCACCUGCCUCAAAGUCGGGGAUAACGGGACGAAAGUGCUGCUAAUACCCGCUAAGCUCACGGGGAAUAGUGACCAGUGAGAAAAGCUUUGGCGCUUUGAGAGGGGGCUGCGGCCCAUCAGGUAGUUGGUGUGGUAACGGCGCACCAAGCCGACGACGGGUAGGGGGCCUGAGAGGGUGAUCCCCCACACUGGGACUGAGACACGGCCCAGACUCCUACGGGAGGCAGCAGUGAGGAAUAUUGGUCAAUGGGGGCAACCCUGAACCAGCAACGCCGCGUGGGUGACGAAGGCCUUCGGGUCGUAAAGCCCUUUUGCGGGGGACGAUACUGACGGUACCCCGCGAAGAAGCCUCGGCUAACUCCGUGCCAGCCGCCGCGGUAAUAC